rnacentral:rRNA from 2 species
GGACUACUGGGGUUUCUAAUCCUGUUUGCUACCCACGCUUUCGCGCCUUAGUGUCAGUAUUGGUCCAGGAAGUCGCCUUCGCCACUGAUGUUCCUUCCGAUAUCUACGCAUUUCACCGCUACACCGGAAAUUCCACUUCCCUCUACCAUACUCUAGACAUUCAGUAUCGGAUGCAAUUCCCAGGUUAAGCCCAGGGCUUUCACAUCCGACUUAAAUAUCCACCCACGCGCGCUUUACGCCCAGUAAUUCCGAUUAACGCUUGCACUCUCUGUAUUACCGCGGCUGCUGGCAC